rnacentral:rRNA from 1 species
GUAGGGAAUAUUGGGCAAUGGAUGCAAGUCUGACCCAGCCAUGCCGCGUGGAGGAAGAAGGUCCUCUGGAUUGUAAACUCCUUUUUUGGGGGAAGAAUAGUUCUCUUGCGAGGGAAUGUGACGGUACCCUAAGAAUAAGCCACGGCUAACUACGUGCCAGCAGCCGCGGUAAUACGUAGGUGGCAAGCGUUGUCCGGAUUGAUUGGGUUUAAAGGGUGCGUAGGUGGUUUGAUAAGUCAGUGGUGAAAGCUGGUUGCUCAACAAUCAAGUUGCCAUUGAUACUGUCGGACUUGAGAGAAGUGGAGGUUCAUGGAAUGGAUGGUGUAGCGGUGAAAUGCAUAGAUAUCAUCCAGAACGUCGAUUGCGAAGGCAGUGGGCUGUACUUUAUCUGACACUGAGGCACGAAAGUGUGGGGAUCAAACAGGAUUAGAAACCCCUGUAGUCC